rnacentral:rRNA from 1 species
GACGAACGCUGGCGGCGUGCCUAACACAUGCAAGUCGAACGGGGUCCAUGGGAGCUUGCUCCCGGAAGACCUAGUGGCGAACGGGUGAGUAACACGUGAGAAACCUGCCCUGGAGUGGGGAAUAACUCGGGGAAACUCGAGCUAAUACCGCAUACCCUCGGAUGGUCGCAUGGCCGACCGAGGAAAGAUUUAUCGCUUCAGGAGGGUCUCGCGGCCUAUCAGCUAGUUGGNGGGGUAACGCCUACCAAGGCAACGACGGGUAGCUGGUUUGAGAGAACGAUCAGCCACACUGGGACUGAGACACGGCCCAGACUCCUACGGGAGGCAGCAGUGGGGAAUCUUGCGCAAUGGGCGAAAGCCUGACGCAGCAACGCCGCGUGCGGGAUGACGGCCUUCGUAGGUUGUAACCGCUUUCAGCAGGACGAAAUAGACGGUA